UACAGAGGUGGCAAGCGUUGUUCGGAAUUACUGGGCGUAAAGGGCGCGUAGGCGGCCAUCUAAGUCAGACGUGAAAUCCCCCGGCUCAACCUGGGAACUGCGUCUGAUACUGGAAGGCUAGAGCUUGGGAGAGGGAUGUAGAAUUCCUGGUGUAGCGGUGAAAUGCGCAGAUAUCAGGAGGAACACCGGUGGCGAAGGCGGGACUCUGGGCCGAUACUGACGCUGAGGAGCGAAAGCGUGGGGAGCGAACAGG
rnacentral:rRNA from 1 species